CGGAAGUGAAGUGCUGAAGUGUGAGCAUUGAAUUGUUGAAGUGUUUUGGUUCGUAGUGGGCUGUUGUUGAAGAGACGGCGUCUUGUGGGUUAAAGAGAUAUGUUGCCAUUUGAAGCUGAGAGGAAUAAAUAUACUGGGUGUUUAUUUUAGUUGAAGCUGUGCAUUUUGGUUUGGCUUGUCAUUUUAGUACUGUUGCUUUUCAUUGUUAUGUUAUUGUUAUUUCUCUUUUCUGUUAUGGAAGAUGCUGUCAGUAUUGUACUGGGUAUAAAGGAGAGUAGAGAGGACAUUGAGAGGAAUCAUCUGGAAUAUUUGUAGCUUGAAGUAUUUUCUUGUAUGGAGGUUGGUCCUCCCUCGAAGAAGGAACUCUAUCAAUGAAUGAUGGUGGCUUGCUUUGCUCUUCUUCAUCAUUAGCAGAACAUGGCUUUCGAUGUAAACAACGGUGAAGAUUACUUGAUCAACCAACAUGUAGGCCCCAGUUUCAGGCAUAUGAUCUAGUGGACAUGGAUAUCUACACGACGACGACAACCCAUCUCACUGCCCGCAAGAUCUCCGUUUUCUUCCCCUGCGACGACUUCGUCGUCUACGACCCACAUGGUGAGCUUCUGCUACGGCCCGGAUUCCAGACCCGAAGAUCAGACCCAAACCCAUAAACCAAAACUCAAAAUUAUCAACGGUAACUAUUUAGUCUAUAUCUAUGUACUUCUACGAAGGCUUCUUCACAUUUUCACUUUGGUUGACUCUUUUUAUCUUUCGUACUGGGAUAAAGACCUGCACAAGAUUUGUAUUACUUGGAGAUAUUGGCAGGCAUGAAGAGAGAGAGAGAGAGUGGUAUAAAUAUAUAUAUAUACACGUAUUAAAUAUCAAAGUGUGAGUUACCUUGUAAUAUAUUCUAUUUAAUUCUCCACUUGGACUAGAGAAUUUGAUGGCUUUCUCGCUGCAAAAAGCAGCCUUGUCUGUGGAGAUGAAGAGGAGGCCUGCUAUAGGGCCAGCUGUGGUUGACAAGUAGCAUCGGGUCCCAUAUCAUCAUCUGAUGACGAUGAAGAGGAGAAGUUGAUUCGGUGGCGUUCAUGAAAAGUUUGAUGUUUAACGUGAUUAUACCAAAUAUAAAUUUGUGGGUUACUGUGAUUUUGGUGCAGUAUUGCUUUUCAGGAUUUGGCAGUCGGACUUUGGGUCCAUUUCUUCUUCCACAUAAGAAGUGUUGUUAUGCUUUUGAGUAUUGGACUUAGAUUUUAUAGAGUAGUUUUUUUGUUAGAAACCUUCCCUUUUAAUGUACUACAAUCUGUUUGUAAUGUAAAUGGCGAAGAAGAAAGUAAACGAAAUACUGGAAGCCACAAGAACAUGGAUGCACAGUUGGUGUUUGAUAAAAGUCCUCAAAUGAUAAAAAAGGGCAGUGAUAAAAAUAA